CGCUCAUUAUGAAACCCAUCUGUGUAUUUUACCUGUUGCUUCCGUGGGGCGUUGGCUUCGGCCGCCUCCGAUGAGGGUGAGAGCCCAGACUCGGGGAGUACCCACGGGAGGUAUUAUUAAAACCAUUGCUUUCAAUGAUGUCUGUCUGAAUUGUCUCAAUGAGAAAAGUUAAAACUUUCAACAACGGAUCUCUUGGUUCUCGCAUCGAUGAAGAACGCAGCGAAAUGCGAUAAGUAGUGUGAAUUGCAGAAUUCAGUGAAUCAUCGAAUCUUUGAACGCACAUUGCGCCUCCUGGUAUUCCGGGAGGCAUGCCUGUUCGAGCGUCAUUAAAAACCACUCAAGCGAUUUUGCUUGGUCUUGGAGGAAGAGCAGCCUUCCGGCAGCUCCCCUCUGAAAUACAAUGGCGGAUGGUCCCUUGAGCCCCGACGUAGUAAGAGCAAUCUUUCGUCGGAGAUCUUGGACACUCCUGCCCUCAAUCCCAAACUUUAUUAUGGUUGACCUCGGAUCAGGUAGG
rnacentral:rRNA from 1 species